AUUGAACGCUGGCGGCAUGCUUUACACAUGCAAGUCGAACGGCAGCGCGGGCUUCGGCCUGGCGGCGAGUGGCGAACGGGUGAGUAAUACAUCGGAACGUGCCCAGUAGUGGGGGAUAGCUCGGCGAAAGCCGGAUUAAUACCGCAUACGACCUGAGGGUGAAAGCGGGGGAUCUUCGGACCUCGCGCUAUUGGAGCGGCCGAUGGGUGAUUAGCUAGUUGGUGGGGUAAAGGCCUACCAAGGCGACGAUCUGUAGCUGGUCUGAGAGGACGACCAGCCACACUGGGACUGAGACACGGCCCAGACUCCUACGGGAGGCAGCAGUGGGGAAUUUUGGACAAUGGGCGAAAGCCUGAUCCAGCAAUGCCGCGUGUGUGAUGAAGGCCUUCGGGUUGUAAAGCACUUUUGGCGGGAACGAAAAGGACUGUGCCAAUACCACGGUUCGAUGACGGUACCCGCAGAAUAAGCACCGGCUAACUACGUG
rnacentral:rRNA from 1 species